AUUGACCAGCACAGAUCUAGAUAUUCAGGCUUAGCUUUGUGUCAGUUCAUUGUCUUUAGGAAGUUAUAGAAUUUAGUAACAGCUAUACAUUUAUUGAGUGGCUACUAUAUGCAACUCACCAAAAACAGAAGAAAAAUACAGCCUCAGCCCUCAAGAACUAUACCGCCUAGAAGGGGAGAGAAGCAAGUAGAUCAGUCAUGCUACUGUGCCAGACCAGAAAUUUAUUUUCUCAUAGUUCUGGAGGCUAAAGGUCUGAGAUUGAGAUCAAGGUGUCAGCAGGAUUUUUUGUUUGUUUGUUUGUUUGUUUGUUUUUGGUGGUGGUGGUUGUUUUGAGACAGAGUCUCACUCUGUUGCCCAGGCUGGAGUGCAGUGGAGCAAUCUUGGAUCACUGCAACCUCCGCCUUCCAGGUUCAAGUGAUUCUCCUACCUCAGCCUCCUGAGUAGCUGGGAUUACAACCAUGCAACACCAUGCCCAGCUAAUUUUUGUAUUUUUAGUAGAGAUGGAGUUUUACCAUGUUGGCCAGGCUGGUCUUGAACUCUUGACCUCAAGUGAUCUGCCAGCCUCAGCCUCCCAAAAUGCUGAGAUUACAGAUGUGAGCCAUCGUGCCUGGCCUUGUUUUUUAGCUUUUUGUUUUUUGGUAGAGACGAGGUCUUGCUAUAUUGCCCAGGCUGGUGUCGAACUCCUGGACUCAAGUGAUCCUCCUGCCUCCUGAUGUGCUGUGGUUACAGGCAUGAGCCACCACGCCAGGCUGGAUUGGUUUCUUCUGAGGCCUCUCUCCUUGCCUUGUAAAUGACCAUCUUCUCCCUUCAUCUUCCCAUGGUCUUCCCUCCAUGCAUGUAUCUCUGCCCUCAUCUCUUCUUAUAAGGAAAACAGUCAAACUGGAUUAGGGCCCACCCCAGUGACCUCAUUUUAACUCAGUUACCUCUUUAAAGAUUCAAUCUCCAGGCUGGGUGUGGUGGCUCACACCUGUAAUCCCAGCACUGUGGGAGGCCAAGGCAGCCGUAUCGCC
rnacentral:lncRNA from 1 species